rnacentral:rRNA from 1 species
CCUACGGGUGGCAGCAGUGAGGAAUAUUGGUCAAUGGACGAGAGUCUGAACCAGCCAAGUAGCGUGAAGGAUGACUGCCAUACGGGUUGUAAACUUCUUUUAUAAAGGAAUAAAACGAGGCACGUGUGCCUUUUUGCAUGUACUUCAUGAAUAAGGAUCGGCUAACUCCGUGCCAGCAGCCGCGGUAAUACGGAGGAUCCGAGCGUUAUCCGGAUUUAUUGGGUUUAAAGGGAGCGUAGAUGGGUUGUUAAGUCAGUUGUGAAAGUUUGCGGCUCAACCGUAAAAUUGCAAUUGAUACUGGCAGUCGUGAGUACAGUUGAGGUAGGCGGAAUUCGUGGUGUAGCGGUGAAAUGCUUAGAUAUCACGAAGAACCCCGAUUGCGAAGGCAGCUUACUAAACUGUGACUGACAUUGAUGCUCGAAAGUGUGGGUAUCAAACAGGAUUAGAUACCCUGGUAGUC